rnacentral:rRNA from 1 species
UACGUAGGUGGCAAGCGUUAUCCGGAAUUAUUGGGCGUAAAGCUCGCGUAGGCGGUUUUUUAAGUCUGAUGUGAGAGCCCACGGCUCAACCGUGGAGGGUCAUUGGAAACUGGAAAACUUGAGUGCAGAAGAGGAAAGUGGAAUUCCAUGUGUAGCGGUGAAAUGCGCAGAGAUAUGGAGGAACACCAGUGGCGAAGGCGACUUUCUGGUCUGUAACUGACGCUGAUGUGCGAAAG